rnacentral:lncRNA from 10 species
GGGAGGAACAUCGAAUAUUUUUUCACCAUGAGAAAGAUGGGCUUUGUUUCUCAAAAAAGAACAGAGAUCCUGUUUCUGGGUAGCUGUUAUCAGAAACUGGUUUUAAUAAAUACAGUUGGAGAGUGAAAGACUUAGUUUAGUGAAUCUCCAGAGACUGGGUGUGAACGUGACUUUUCACCCCUGGGUCACGGGUCACUUCCUGCUUCUUCUUAUAGGAAGAUUGCUUAAGAAGAAGCUAAUAUAAAAGCACCAUGUUCAUGAUGCUUUGACAUCUUGGGGCAUCUUGCAGACCAGGGAUGGACUGCCCCUCCCAGGUUUGGCUAAUUCCUGGAGAUACUAAACAACUCGGCUUAGAACACAUCUUUUAUAUGCAAGACAACAAAUCCAGGCUCCAUACCCUCAUCUCAUCCUUUUAUCAGGCUCCUCCAGCACAGAACAUUAUCCUCCUGCUCUAAGUCACCCAGAGCCAGGAGAAUUUUACCCUCUUGUCAGUCUUGGCCAUGUGAUUUCAUCUGGCAAAUGACAUGGGAGUGGAAGUGACAUGCCCAGAAGAUUUGAGAGCUGUGGUGAGAUCCCAUCAUUUCCCUUCUGACACAAGGCACACCACAUCCCCAGAUGGAGGUAUUCUGUCAAUCUGGAUCCCAAAGUGAAAAGGAUGAAGGACAAAGUCACAACUGAUGGAGAGCCAUCAUGGAAGAUGAGGAAAAUAUUAGCUUUACUCUUACAAAGCACUGAGAUUUGAGGGUCACUUGUUCUUGCAGCAUAGCCCAGCAAAGAAUGACCGAUACACUUUUCUUCACAAAACCUCUGUCUAAUUGAACUCAAACUCUGAACCAUACGCUGAAUGAAAGAAUGGUCCGUUCCUAUUUCGAUAGGUCAACCCUCAUUUUUAUAAGUGCACAGCUUCAGGAAGGCACACAUGCAGUCAUGAAGGGAGAAAGUGGAGUUCUCAACUAUUGAAGCCAGUGAGCUAACUUCUGCAUUCACCGACAUGAAACAUGCUGAAGUCUGUUUGCCUUGCAGUUCUCUGCUGGAUGUGCCAAGAGGGCUCUAUUUUAGAGAAGGAAAACUAACAAUAGAUUCCCGCCAACUAAAAGGGGAUUUCUUUUCCUGGGAAGGAAAAAAUAAAUGGAA